AUUGAACGCUGGCGGCAUGCUUUACACAUGCAAGUCGAACGGCAGCGGGGGCUUCGGCCUGCCGGCGAGUGGCGAACGGGUGAGUAAUGCAUCGGAACGUGCCCAUGUCGUGGGGGAUAACGUAGCGAAAGCUACGCUAAUACCGCAUACGUCCUGAGGGAGAAAGCGGGGGAUCUUCGGACCUCGCGCGAUUGGAGCGGCCGAUGUCGGAUUAGCUAGUUGGUGGGGUAAAGGCCCACCAAGGCGACGAUCCGUAGCGGGUCUGAGAGGAUGAUCCGCCACACUGGGACUGAGACACGGCCCAGACUCCUACGGGAGGCAGCAGUGGGGAAUUUUGGACAAUGGGCGCAAGCCUGAUCCAGCCAUGCCGCGUGAGUGAAGAAGGCCUCGG
rnacentral:rRNA from 1 species